UGUAACUCAAGCGAGACUGCAUUGUGAUCAGAGUAAGAAAACUGUUGUUCUGGAACUCUAUCUGGUAACGGAUUACCGAAAUUCACGACACGGGCCUGUAAGAGCAAAAAUAAAAUAUAUAAACUUCUUAUACUGUCUCUCUACAUAAGUGUGUGAAUAUUUUUAAUGUUAUAUAUAAAAAAAAUAUAAAUUAUUAAAAUGCUCACUGGGCUGUUUCUGCUAUAAUUUAUGUUAAUAUAACCGCUUUUUAAUGUUGCUAGUUUGACGAAAUUGUAGCUCAUCUGACGGUCAAUGAUCAACGUCACCACGCACGUCAUCAAUGCCAAUGCCUAGUCGCAGCUUACAAUUAAAUCAGUGAAACCAAAGCAAAAAAUAACAGCCAAGUCUGUCUUGCAUCACACAGAACUGGAGCAUAACACAGAAUUCUUAAAAAAAAUGUGUCUACAGAAAUAUAUUACUUACCUCCCAAGAAUGGGCCACUGAUGGAAGAAGACAUCUUGGAUUACCCAUUUAGAAAAUACACAGAGACCUGAACCUAGAACUCCACUGUAAAUAAUAAAAAAUCAUUUCAAAAUGAAGACACUGGUGAAAAUAAUUAUGAUUUUUUUCCAAUCCAAAUUCAUUGGAUUCAUUUCGCAGUAAGUAUGCAAACAAUCUUAGUGUAGCAGAUUAUGAUCAUGGAUGCAGAUGAGACUUUUACUUUUCAGCUACACUUGUUUCUAAAUAAAUGAAUAUAUGUAAUUUAAAUUUAAAAAAAAAUAGUAUGUGUAAUUAAGAAUUGAAAUAAUCCCCUCUUUACACUGUACCAGUUUUACAUGAUAUUGCACAGUAUAUAAAUUAAUGAAUUUUGAAACUUAUAUCAAUUAUUAUAUACAUUCUUUUAUUUAUAAUUAUUAAUUAGCAUAUUCAUAAAUAUAGUUAAAAACCACUUUUGUGUGCCAUUGAUUUGGCAGCACUGAUGGAAAAACAAAGGACUCCCCAUACUGUAAAAUACAAUAUACAUUUAGGGCAACAUGUACCCUUAAUUUGUACAUACACAACCAUAGAUAUUUACAUUGUAAAAGGAAGUGAAAAAAAACUCAUAUUUUUUACCAUGAGUUUAUAAAUUAGAACAUCAGUUCUAAUAAACAAUAAUAGUAAUAAUAUAAGUAAAAAAAGUAAUAAAUAAUAAGUAUCAUCACAAAAAUUAAUGAUUUACAUACUAGUGUCACAUAGAAUUAAAAUCACAAGAAUUAUUAAUAAUGACAAGAGUAGUGUUGAGUUUAGAAAAACUGUCAUGAUUUCAUCUUUGGAAUGUUAUCUCAAGGUCACGAAGCAAAAAGCACAAAGAUUUUUCACUUCACUGCAGAAAUUGGUAGGGAGUAGUCUAAAAUUAUUUCUAGGUUGAUUAUUAACAUUAUACAAUAACUAAAAGUAUUCCUGACACAUUUGUUUACCUGUAAAAGUAGUAAGAAUAUGGGAGUACAUUCUUUAGGUUCUCCUUUAAAUAUAGGUAAUCUUUUUCACUCCAAACUUCUUGCAAACAUACUAUAUUAUGUUCGCUUUUUAAUAAGUAUGUAGAUAUAGCUUCAUAUCUUUCUUUCUUAUUCUUAGACACCACUGGUAUACCCCUUAAAAGUAACAUUAAAUUAAUAAUAAAGGUUUAUUGUAUAGGCUAAGCUCUCUUUAUCUUAUCCUGCCCUUCUCCCAGUUACCUGGGGUUGGCGCAACAUGUUUUCUCCUUCCAUACUCUUCUAUCAUAUACCAUUUCUUCGCUCACUCCCCUCUUACCCAUAUCAUCUUUCACGCAAUCCAUCCAUUUCUUCUUAGGUCUACCUCUUCCUCUAUAUCCUUCCAUACUCAUAGUUAACAUUUUCUUACCAACCUCAUUUUCAUUUCGUCUCAUCACAUGUCCAUACCAUCCCAAACUUGCACUUCUCAGCUUCUCUGUCACAGGUGCCGCUUUCAGACUUCCUCUAACAUAUUCAUUCCGUAUUCUAUCUACUACUACUAUCUUUAGUAUGGUAUGUCAUCAUCAUCAUCAUCAUCAGCCUUUAUCUGCCCACUGCUGGACAUAGGCCUUCCCCAAGGCCUAUGGUAUGUACCAUUACAAAAAUAAAUACUGUUUUUUACUUAAUUCUAACAUUCAUUGAUUAAGAAAAGUUAUUUUAGAUUUGUUUCUUUGGCCAUAUAUAUUUUUAAUACAAUUUAAGAUUACUUAAUAAACAUAUCACACUACCAUGACUGAAUUACUUCCGAAUAUGAUAUUAUAUUACCAACAAUUCAGUUAAUAUACACUUACCAACAGUUCAAGGUGAAAAUAUUGAGUGUGAAUUCCAUAUCGGUAUCAAAUGAUAUGUUAUUGAUUUUCGGUAAUUAAAUUAUUUAUUACCUUUGAAGUAUGUAUAUGUGGUUUCUAAAGAAACUUAAUUUAGUUAGAUGACGACUUGUUUUUAAAUAAAAUUUAAGAUGUAUAUUAAAUGUUAAAUGCUCAGUAAAUACUCUAUAACCCAUUCAUUUUAAAAUGCAAUUAAGCUUUUGAUAACGAAAUGAUAACGCACUCUGCUAUCAAGAAAUUUGACAACAGUGCAAUGCAUAUUUAUGCUUUUUCCAUUGUAUACAUUGGAUAGAUAAAGGAGAUGUAGCCUAUUCAGCCAAAUUUUUCAAAUAAAUUAAAAAGCCAUGGCUUGCUUGAAUAUUUAACGGAACAGAUUUAAAUGAAGUGAGAUAAGACAACACCAUAGGUACUGUUACGUAAUAAAAUGAAGUAAUGGCCCGAUAAAAUGAUGGGAAUCUACUGAAGAAUGAAUGAGUCUUCCUAUUUUUCCACUUCAAAAGUAUUAACUCAUUCCUAUAAUAUGCAAUUUAUGAAAUGUAAUUUAAAUUGUAGGUGCAGACGGAGCAGCGUAACGGCAUUAGUAGAUCAAAGGAAAAAUAAAACGAAUGAAAAUCAAUGAGAUUAAAACAAGGGCUAAAAUUUUACGUCUAUUUAUUGGAAAGAAAAUUAAAUAUUAACGAGUGUAUAAUAACCGGCAAACUUCUUGAGCAUUUGUUGACGUAGUGGGGGUAAGUUUGCGCAUGGUACACUCACGUGCAAAAACAUUACUUACUCUGCGUCAUAAUGCUAUUAAAUUAUUAAAAUCAACAUAUGUAUUUAUUUAUAUAUUUAUUAGAACAUCAACAAAACAUAUAGGUUAAUAAUUGUAAUAAUUUAAUCUUGGGGUAAAAUAGAUAUUCCUUCUAUUAAGUCAAAACUAGAGCUGUUGCCAGGUCUUGGUUCAGUUGAAGCGAAGCUGGUAUUUGUAAUUUUUUUUUUUCGUUAUCAUAAUCUUGACCAUCAUCAUCACUGUUUUUAUCACCCGAGUUGCUAUCAUCAUGAUGAGUCGACAUAGGGAUCAUCGGUGUAGUUUACAACUCGGUCGGUUCGGUCUACUUUUUUGUCUAUAAUUAAUUAUUUUUUGAAGAUAUUCGAUUCGUAGUAAUCGAAUGUAACUUUUUCAAUUACCAGCUUCCGAUUAUUUUCUGUUUUUUUUCCAUCUGAAGCCUAGCUCUUUCAUAAUUCGUCGUAAACUUCAUACCGAGCCAUUAAAAUUUAUAUCUUCUUUAAAUUUUUCGAAGCCUUUCUACGGUACGGAGUUUCGCUGCUUGUUAUGUAGUUAUUAUGAUUACAUCUUUUUAUUACAGAUUGAACGAAACUAUCCAUUCCGGUAAAUUUCUUCUUCCCUGAUCUUUUCUUACCCGGAGUCCGCAACACGGCGAGCAAGCCAGAGCCUUUAGCUUCGUUAAUAAUGCACCUAACAGUACUCACUGAUGUUUUUGUUGCUUCCGAAGUCUGUUUUAAUUUUUCCAUAUCAUUCUUCACCUGUUUUAUAAUGAAGCAAUAUACGUCGUACACAAAU